rnacentral:pre_miRNA from 1 species
AAAAGGUGUAGUUUUACAUUAUUCAUAUUCAACGUUUGAACAUCCAUCUUAUUUGAAAAAAAAUUGAUUAGUAUUUUUAUAUUGUUAUUAGAUGAUAAAACAUAAGUAGUAUUUUAUAUGUAACUAUUUUUUUAUUUCUUUCAUAAAAUUUUCAAAUAAAAUGAUGGUGAAACGUUGGUCAUUUAAAUCCACAACUGUACUUAAA